rnacentral:lncRNA from 13 species
CCUAAACUCCAGGAGGGGAGAGAAUUUGGCCCUAACCACUGUGUUGACUAUGCUACUAACUAGCAGUUCAAACCUGGUUCUGGGGUACACGUGCAGAUUGUGUAGGAUUGUUACACAGGUAUCCCAUGCCAUGGUGGUUUGCUGCAUCCAUCUCCCCGUCAUCUACAUCGGAUCUGUGGCAGGGGACUUUUUCAGUCUGAACAUUAUACUCCUCAUUAAAGUGAUGAGAGGGCCUUGAUUGCUUGGGUAAAGUAAUCAAGUGAAAUAAAGGGGAAACUUAUCUUACA